GUUCCAGCCUGUUUCUGUUUCUACCAGUGACAUGGAAAAAGUACUACUAGAUGCCCAGCAUGAGUCUGGACAGAAUAUCUCCAAGAGUAAGAAAAACAGCUCUCAGUCUGAGGAAGGUUAUAUUGAGAGAAGGAAAGAAGUUGAAAGCAUUUUGAAAGAAAAACCUCAGAUUGGACAUGGGAUUGGUUGAGUUAACCAGAAAAUAUUCCCCCCAAGGAGUUAACACCCCACAUGCAUGGCCACUCUCAGCAUGAGAAACACAAACAUCAUGAAGAAAGAGGGCAUAUUCUCUGCAAAAUUUCUGAAGGUUUUUCUUCCAUCUCUGCUGUUCUCUCAUUUACUGGCCACUGGAUUGGGAAUGUCUAUUAAAAGGUGGCUGACAACCUCCACCAGCACC
rnacentral:lncRNA from 10 species